GAUGAACGCUGGCGGCGUGCCUAAUACAUGCAAGUCGAGCGAACAGACGAGGAGCUUGCUCCUCUGAUGUUAGCGGCGGACGGGUGAGUAACACGUGGAUAACCUACCUAUAAGACUGGGAUAACUUCGGGAAACCGGAGCUAAUACCGGAUAAUAUAUUGAACCGCAUGGUUCAAUAGUGAAAGACGGUUUUGCUGUCACUUAUAGAUGGAUCCGCGCCGCAUUAGCUAGUUGGUAAGGUAACGGCUUACCAAGGCAACGAUGCGUAGCCGACCUGAGAGGGGAAUCGGCCACACUGGAACUGAGAAACGGUCCAGACUCCUACGGAAGGCAGAGGAGGGAAUCUUCCGCAAUGGGCGAAAGCCUGACGGAGCAACGCCGCGUGAGUGAUGAAGGUCUUCGGAUCGUAAAACUCUGUUAUUAGGGAAGAACAAAUGUGUAAGUAACUAUGCACGUCUUGACGGUACCUAAUCAGAAAGCCACGGCUAACUACGUG
rnacentral:rRNA from 1 species